UACGUAGGGGGCAAGCGUUGUCCGGAUUUAUUGGGCGUAAAGAGCGUGUAGGCGGCCAGGUAGGUGGGUUGUGAAAACUGGAGGCUCAACCUUCAGACGUCGACCCAAACCCCCCAUCGGCUAGAGUCCGGAAGAGGAGAGUGGAAUUCCUGGUGUAGCGGUGAAAUGCGCAGAUAUCAGGAAGAACACCCGUGGCGAAGGCGGCUCUCUGGGACGGUACUGACGCUGAGACGCGAAAGCGUGGGGAGCGAACGGG
rnacentral:rRNA from 1 species